GCCUUCUUGAGUUUAAAUUUUAUUUUACAAAAAGAGAAAUAAAGAAAACUGAUAGGCAGUUAUACUGACUUACAAUUGUUCUGUUUGCUUUUUUUUAAAAAAGUGACAUGAAACACAAGUAAAAAUAAAUACGUCAUAGAAACAGCCAGUUGCCCAGUCUCUGGGGCAGGAGCGCCUGCCCUGCUGAGAGGAGGGAAGCCCAUGAUCACACCAGCAGCUGGAUCACCCAGCCACAGAUGCUCCUCGAAGCCAGGCACAGGUCCCAGGCCUCAGGGGCGUCCUGAGGAAAGAAGACGGAAAACCAAAGCCAGGUGCCAGGACCCUGGGGCCACCUCAUUAUCCCCCACUCCUCCUGGCAGCAGUCUGGUCUUAGUGGUUAUCCAUAGCGACCCCCCUUAACCCACCUGGACCCUCUUCCCCUGACCUCUCUGAAGAUGGUACAAGGGAAAAACCUGUCUUGGGCAGGCUGGGGGGGAUUCUUCUGGUGAGUCCCCAGCCCACCCUGAGUAACACAACCAGAUAACAGUCAUUUUACACCCAGGUGCACAUGAGCACAGCACACAAACACACACACACACACUCACACACACACACACACACAGCUGGGCUGAGCUCUCUUCCAGGGAGGGUCCUGGGUCCAGUCACAGUAUGAGGUCCUCUCUCUUCUGAAUAUCAUCCCAGUAGUGGCAGCAGAGAGUACCCAAACCUCCCCAAGCCCUCUGCAUUGCAGACACUGCAGCCUGCUUGGCUACCCCUCCCCAACACACUAGAUUACUAUGUCAAAUAGACCUGCAAAAGGGAAAGGUGCACACUCAGGUCCCUGAAGAGCAAAGAAGUUGGACACUGCCUGCUCAAGAAGUUCAUUGUUAUAAGACUCAGGUAUUCAUAAAAGGCCUAGGGCUAAGCUAGUAGCACAGAAAAGCCGUUAAGGGGAUCACAGCAGAAUACACAGGGCAGAAGAGAAGAGUUGGCAGCAGGGGAACGGAGUCUCAAGGUGACCAAUAGAGAGCACAACAUUCUCAAAUAGUCCUUGAGGUGCUGAUUCCUGGGAGUAGUCAGCAGAGGGCCAGAACAUCUCCCAGGGGUCCUUUUGGGGAAGGAUGACUUCACUUAGUUUUAGGGGUGAAGAGCCACUGAGCUGGGUGCACAGAAGGCCAUGGCUCAGAAGGGAAAGACUGAUCUGAGAAAUCAAAAGGAAGUGGGGGCCAGGAGCAGUGGCUCACGCCUGUAAUCCCAUCACUGGGAGGCCGAGGAGGGUGGAUCACUUGAGGUCAGGAGUUCAAGGCCAGCCUGGCCAACGUGGUGAAACCCCGUCUCUACUAAAAAAUAUACAAAUUAGCUGGGCAUGGUGGUGUGCACCUGUAAUCCCAGCUACUUGGGAGGCUGAGGCAGGAGGAUCGCUUGAAACCGGGAGUGGAGGUUGCACGGAGCCAAGAUCACACCAUUGCACUCAAGCCUGGGUGACAGAGCAAGACUCUGUCUCAAAAAAAAAAAAAAGGAAGUGGGAAGCAGAAGGUAAUAUCCAGAACACUAGUAACAAGGAAUGUAAAGCCCCCAGAAGACCUUCCCCAUGGGAUGAGGACUCAAUUUCAGAGCAAUGCCAGGUUUGAAUAGACUCACACAGAGGGCCCUUCUCUGCUGACAACUUUGGGAGUGAUGGUCCUACCCAGGCCACUUAAGUUUGGCUAAGUGUUUCAACCAAUCUGCAAAACUGUACCCCAGCACUUUGCUUCCUGCUCCUGAAUUGAGAAAUUUCAUAUUUAGUUGUGAAUCACAAGCAUAUAGAGACUCCACACACUAAUUCCUAGGGAAGAGAGCUCCAAGGAUCACAAGCAUAUAGAGACUCCACACACUAAUUCCUAGGGAAGAGAGCUCCAAGGACCAGACAGAAUUAUCCUUAAAUCAGGAGAUGAUGAGAUAGAUGCCUAAAAAGCAUAACUCAAAGGGGUGUGGACUUCAUAGAUAUCCAAUCUAAAGAAAAUGAUAUGACCCAACAUGGUUCUUAGGCUCUGAGAUACUUCCUGCUUCCCUCACAAACAUGCUUAUGUUUGGUGUGCAUGCACAUUUGCCUAUCAGCACAUAUAAAGAGACAGUGGAAAAGUCAGAAGUGUUUUCAGGUUAUUUUCUUUAAAAAAAAAAAAAAAAAAAAAAAAAAAAAAAAAAAGCAAAAACCAUGGACCUGGUAGCACUCCAAUUUCCCAUGAUCCCACCCCCAACCCCUCUACACAAUAGAAACUGCACAUAUAAAAGAAAGCCUUCUCUAGUCAGGUCAGCCUCCCAGAAUGAUGGCCUCUGCUGAGUAGAAGCAAGACCCAGUCCCUGGAACACUGGAUAGACAGUAGGCAUGUGCUGCCUCUCAGAAUACCCAUUUACUUUCUGUCAACUUCAAAAGCCAAGCCCAUCCCUCCAGGGAAUGGUUUCAGUUCCCGGCUGGGAAGGUUUCCGGAUUCUUGGAGGCUAGUACAGUGAUUUCCUAGAAGUGAACACAGAAAUACUACCCCCUUCUCCCGACAACACACACACACAGACAUACACAUGCACACAUGCAUCUCUGGGAUCCCAGUGCUCCAGGGCCUGAGAGGCAUCAGUGUAACCCAGGUUCUGAGUGUGUCCCAUAAAUUGGAGAUUCAGUCUAGCUCACUCCUACUGCACCAGCCUCAACCUGAGAGCUCACUCCAACUGAGUCCCUUCACCAUCCAUUCUUGGGAUGCAUCUGAAAGAGAAAGCACUGGUUGGAACUGCUAUUUUUAAAUUAUUAAAAUAAUUUGCAUAGCUAAAUUGUAGAUCUAAGGCUUCCAUGAGUAGAAGAGUUAAGUGUCUGGCAGGGUGCUUAUGAAAACACAAAGCUUCUUAAGUUCCACUUUUGGUGUUAUUGGACAGCAGACAAACACACAUAUACACAUGCACCCCAUCCAUCAUCUCCUUGUCUCUUCUCUGAGGACAAUACCCCAGAGUCUGCUAAGGCCCUCCAAAGAUGGAAAUGGGCUGGUCAGAAGAGCUGUAGGAGCUACUACUGGGAUGACCUGACUAAGCUGCCUUCUGGGCUGGGAAGAGGCAGGUACACCACCUGCCCAGUAAGGAGGGAGCCAUGGGUAAGUGGUAAAGCUCUAAAGCCAAAGUUUGUUCAUCAUAAAGAACUGUCUGGCAAAGUGUUGGGGUGGGGGAUACAGAGGGGGCGGGGACACCAGUAGGAAGACAGCCAGUGUUUAUGCUUAAGGACUAGACGACCCUCCCCUGGCAAUGGCAAUAAGGGGAGACCCAGAAUGACUGGUGUGUUCUUUUAAGAUAAAACCCAGACUUAGGGCUCCUACAGAGAAAGGGCUCCUCCAUGUUCCUUCAAAGAUGGAGGCAGCAGACACCAGGCCUACAUGGACCACCUGAAGAUAUUUUCGAACAUGAAAUCAACAGUCCCUCAACCCAGCAACCGCCUAUCCACAGCUUCACUAUUCAGCAUAGAGAGCCAACAUCUAACAUCAUCCCAGGAGGACACAGCUCCAAAUCUGGGGUCUCUUACUUCCCAAUUGCAAACUCCAUGAUCACAACUUUCGAUUUCUGUGGAAUGAGUCCCACCCUCCACUAACUAUCCAGUCUCAGGAUUCCCUGAUCUUCCUGAAAAGCCAUCUCUCAAAAAUAUAGUUGUUUAAUCCAAACCUUGGUCAAACCUAACUCUUCCCCUGGUCAAUUUACCAUCCAUCCAGGAUUGUUUUUCACCAGUGGCUAUAGGGUCUGGGAUAUCUUAAAACUUCCCUUUCUAUCACCUACCCUCCUUACCCCUAACCUCCCCCCACCCCCAAAUAAACAAGACACAUGAAAAGUCCAAGUAAUAAAUAAUUGCCCAUAAGAAAUAAAUUAACAUGGAGCUCUCUAAAGGGGAAGGAAAGGAACAGAAAAGACUACCAGGAUAGGCAGCUGGGGGCUCAGUUCUACCCUGGUGAAAAAUGUAUUUUCCAGCCACAACUCUGCGACCUUUCAUUCACGUACUGCAGUGCUUCUCCCUCCCAGCCUCUGCACACAGACAACCUUCCAAGCUGGAAAGGGAGAGCUGCUCAGAGAUAGCCACCGGGGUUAAGAGACAUAGAUUGGUAAUGCCCAUUUUCUCUCAUGAAUUUCCCCAAAUUCUCACACAAAUGUGGCUCUGAAUACCAGGGACUUGAGUUAGCUGGGCCUUCUCUUCACCCAUCCCGAAGGAAACUUGUUAUUUCCAUGGCUCUUCUGGGCUCACCCUGAUGUUCACACUAGGUGCCAUGAACCACCAAACUGACUUCCAUUUAAAGAAAGAUAAAUUCAUUUUUCAGUUUCCCUCUUAGUUCUUCCCUCCCUCCCCUCCCACCUUCACCCCUGCUCUGUUCCAUACAUACACAUACAAAAUAAACAUACACACACACACUCACAAACACACAUACCUGGUCAGCUUCCUUCCCACCCCCUAAAAAGACCCCACUUCACAUGGGAUCACAGUCUGCUCCCCCUACCCACCCUCCUUCUCUCACUCAUUCUCCCUUCCUUCACUCCCCUCCCCAGGCCAAGCUAAGUCACCUAGUAAGGCAGCUCUCUUGGGAAAGAAUGUUCCCAAAGACAGAAAUGGGAUGUGCGCUUCUACACUCAGAUGGGCGAGCAAGCAAGCAGACAGCAUAAGCAAGGCAGGAAGGAAAAGAGGCUGCACUGCCCCUCCAUCCCUGUUUUGGGUCCCUGAUUUCCCGCUAUUGCUGCUGUGUUGGACUUUUUUUUUUUUUUUUUUUUUUUUGCCUCUUUUGUUAAACAGCAACAGAGCUCUGCCACUUUGGCCAACCACCCUCCUUUGUCCUCUUCCUUUUCCCUCCUGCCAAGUGUCC
rnacentral:lncRNA from 1 species